rnacentral:rRNA from 1 species
UUCUUCGGAGAGUUUGAUCCUGGCUCAGGAUGAACGCUGGCGGCGUGCCUAAUACAUGCAAGUCGAGCGAACUGAUUAGAAGCUUGCUUCUAUGACGUUAGCGGCGGACGGGUGAGUAACACGUGGGCAACCUGCCUGUAAGACUGGGAUAACUUCGGGAAACCGAAGCUAAUCCCCGCCAGUAUCUUCUC